UUGAAAGGGAAACGAUUGAAGUCAGUCGUACCGACGAGAAAUCAGCUUAUCGUGUGUUAACUUGUGGGCGUGCGUGAGUUUCGGCCUCGCUGUUUGCAUGUUUGUGCGCUUUGGGUGUACUUUUUCGUAUGGUUGGCCAACAUCAGUUUCGAUCACUAUAAAAUGACUGGCGGAAUGUAGCUUCGAUUUCGGUUGAAGUGUUAUAGCCUCUGGUAGAUGUGGUGAUUGGGACUGAGGAUUGCAACGAAUAUCCUUUGGGCUAUCCGUCUGGCCUCUGAAAGUUGCUUGGGUGCUGAAAGCUUGCUUAUGGUUAUCUAAGUUAACGGUCAAUAGGUUAGAACGCGAUUACAUUCGUUAAGGAUGUUGACGUA
rnacentral:rRNA from 1 species